ACAUUACAAAGGAGGAGCAGGCGCGCAAUUACCCAAUCCUGACUCAGGGAGGUAGUGACAAGAAAUAACAAUAAACCGGCUUAUGCCGGUUUAAUUGGAAUGAGUACAAUUUAAACAUCUUAACGAGGAACAAUUGGAGGGCAAGUCUGGUGCCAGCAGCCGCGGUAAUUCCAGCUCCAAUAGCGUAUACUAAAGUUGUUGCAGUUAAAAAGCUCGUAGUUGGAUUUCUGUGGGGACGGAGCGGCCGGCCGCACAUCGCGGUUCGAGCUAGCGCUUUCCCUACAUCCUGCCGCGAACCGUGCUACCAUUAGUUUGGUGGCGCCGGGGAUCGGCUCGAUUACUUUGAGAAAAAUAGAGUGUUCAAAGCAGGCCACAUGCCUUGAAUAAGUUAGCAUGGAAUAAUAACUAAGGACUUCGGUUCUAUUUUGUUGGUGUUCGGGACUGAAGUAAUGAUUGAUAGGGACAGUUGGGGCGGUCUGUAUUCCAAAGCGAGAGGUGAAAUUCUUAGACCUUCGGAAGACAAACAGCUGCGAAAGCGUUCCGCAAGGAUGUUCCCUUUGAUCAAGAACGAAAGUUGGGGGAUCGAAGACGAUCAGAUACCGUCGUAGUCUCAACUAUAAACUAUACCAGCUAGGGAUCGGCCAACGUUAUUUCAAACCGACUUGGUCGGCACCUUAUGAGAAAUCAAAGCAUCUGGGUUCCGGGGGGAGUAUGGUCGCAAGGCUGAAACUUAAAGGAAUUGACGGAAGGGCACCACCAGCCGUGGAGCCUGUGGCUUAAUUUGACUCAACACGGGAAAACUUACCAGGUCCAGACAUAGUAAGGAUUGACAGAUUGAUAGCUCUUUCUUGAUUCUGUGGGUGGUGGUGCAUGGCCGUUCUUAGUUGGUGGAGUGAUUUGUCUGGUUAAUUCCGUUAACGAACGAGACCCCAGCCUGCUAAAUAGCGCGCGUGAGCUUUGCUCGCGGCGAGCUUCUUAGAGGGACUAUGAUGCGCGAUAGCACAUGGAAGUUUGGGGCAAUAACAGGUCUGUGAUGCCCUUAGAUGUUCUGGGCCGCACACGGGCUACACUGGCGCCUGCAACGAGCAUAUCAGCUGGUCCGAGAGGAUCUUGGCUAAUCUUUUGAACCGGCGCCGUGCUUGGGAUUGACCUUUGCAAUUGUUGGUCAUGCAACGAGGAAUGCCUUGUAAACGCGAGUCAUCAGCUCGCAUUGAAUACGUCCCUGCCCUUUGUACACACCGCCCGUCGCUCCUACCGAUGAAUGUUCCGAUGAAAUUUUCGGAGAGCACCUGUGAACUUGGCUCCGCCUUGCGAACGGGAGGCUCAAAGUCACUUAAAUCGAAACUGGAAG
rnacentral:rRNA from 1 species